AGAGGCGAAACCGCGAGGUGGAGCAAAAUCUCAAAAAGCCGUCCCAGUUCGGAUCGCAGGCUGCAACCCGCCUGCGUGAAGUUGGAAUCGCUAGUAAACGCGGAUCAGCAUGCCGCGGUGAAUACGUUCCCGGGCCUUGUACACACCGCCCGUCACACCAUGAGAGUCGGGAACACCCGAAGUCCGUAGCCUAACCGCAAGGGGGGCGCGGCCGAAGGUGGGUUCGAUAAUUGGGGUGAAGUCGUAACAAGGUAAC
rnacentral:rRNA from 1 species